GACGAACGCUGGCGGCGUGCCUAAUACAUGCAAGUUGAGCGAUGAAGAUUGGUGCUUGCACCAAUUUGAAGAGCAGCGAGCGGGUGAGUAACGCGUGGGGAAUCUGCCUUUGAGCGGGGGACAACAUUUGGAAACGAAUGCUAAUACCGCAUAACAACUUUAAACUUAAGUUUUAAGUUUGAAAGAUGCAAUUGCAUCACUCAAAGAUGAUCCCGCGUUGUAUUAGCUAGUUGGUGAGGUAAAGGCUCACCAAGGCGAUGAUACAUAGCCGACCUGAGAGGGUGAUCGGCCACAUUGGGACUGAGACACGGCCCAAACUCCUACGGGAGGCAGCAGUAGGGAAUCUUCGGCAAUGGACGAAAGUCUGACCGAGCAACGCCGCGUGAGUGAAGAAGGUUUUCGGAUCGUAAAACUCUGUUGGUAGAGAAGAACGUUGGUGAGAGUGGAAAGCUCAUCAAGUGACGGUAACUACCCAGAAAGGGACGGCUAACUACGUG
rnacentral:rRNA from 1 species